ACGCUCGACACCUACAGGAGGCAGCAGUGGGGAAUAUUGCACAAUGGGGGAAACCCUGAUGCAGCGACGCCGCGUGAAGGAAGAAGUAUCUCGGUAUGUAAACUUCUAUCAGCAGGGAAGAAAGUGACGGUACCUGACUAAGAAGCCCCGGCUAACUACGUGCUAGCAGCCGCGGUAAUCUGAGCGGGCUGGCAAGGC
rnacentral:rRNA from 1 species